GGAGCCUGAGAAACGGCUACCACAUCCAAGGAAGGCAGCAGGCGCGAAAAUUACCCACUCCCGGCACGGGGAGGUAGUGACGAAAAAUACGAAUACGGGACUCACUCGAGGCUCCGUAAUUCGAAUGAGUACAAUCUAAAGCCUUUAACGAGGACCAAUUGGAGGGCAAGUCUGGUGCCAGCAGCCGCGGUAACUCCAGCUCCAAAAGCGUAUAUUAAAGUUGCUGCAGUUAAAAAGCUCGUAGUUGGAUCUGGGUCGCGCGAUUACAUGUCGUUGCUUGAGAUUGGCUUCGGUUAGUUUCGAGUGAUGGUUACGUGGUCGUGCAGCCUUUCAGCCGUGUCUGCGUGAGCAGGUGUUGGCUGGCCGGUAAGCUUGCUUGCUGGUUAGUCGGCAUGUUUCCUGAUGCCUUUAACCGGGUGUCGGGGGCGUACGGCACUUUUACUUUGAACAAAUUUGAGUGCUCAAAGCAGGCCCAUGUGCCUGAAAAGUCUUGCAUGGAAUAAUAUAAUAGGACUUCGGUUCUAUUUUGUUGGUUUCCGGAUCCGAAGUAAUGGUUAAGAGGAACAGACGGGGGC
rnacentral:rRNA from 1 species